GUUCAUAUUCUCAUGGCAGAGCCCUUUGCCAGUGCAUCAGAAGAUAGGACUCCCCUUCCCUGCCUCCCAAACGAGACGUGGGAACAGCAGCUGUGAGAGCAGAACAUGCCAUGGCACAGCAGUAGCCGGACAUCGCCAACGGAUGGACAGACAGACAGAUGGACGGAGACGGAUGGCCUUCCUGAGGUCAGCAGAGACGUGCAAACACCGCAGGGAGCACGGGCAAGUCAGAUGCUGCGCAGGCAGCUGUUUCCAAACCCCAGCUCGUGCAUGCACCACUACGAUUCUGGCAAUCAACUUAACCCCACCUGUGUACUGCACAGUUGUUCCUGCGAGCGGUCCCGUUGCACUCAGACAACACCCCUGCAGCAGGCUGUACGAGAGGAAAAGACUAUCAUCAUGCCACCCAUUGGGCCGUGUCCAUUGUUCCCAUUUUUCCUUUUUACUAAAGCAGCAGGAGGCUGGAAGUGGCUUGGCCCUCAGUGGUUGCUGCUGCCCAGGGUCUGCGGCUGUGCCAGGCCGGAUCCUGCCCCAUGGCACCGCCAGCAAAGCCCAGGAUGUGCUCAGGGAAUGGGAUCACCACCAGCCUUGAGACUGGGAACAACAUCAGGAAACAAGCAACAACAGCACCAAGACAUUUUUCCCUCUCACCGUAAUACUUACAUAGAUGAGAAGAAAUAACAAGUAAAAUUCACCAUGACACAAGACUAAGCCAUCCCAAGUGCCCCGUGUGUUCCCCAUCUCUAACCCAGUGUCCCCAUGGAGACCCUCAGCUUGUCCCCUGCACAGCCCUCCACAGAUCCCCUCCUCCGAGCCUUUUGCACCACCUGCAGGAAGACUAAAUCCAAUUUACUCGUUGACAAGAACCCACACAAUCCUCUUAGGAAAGUCUAAGCCACUGUGUGCACCUCCAAGGCCCGACCACGUUGGUUUACACUGGAGGGAAGUUCAAUGCCAUUUUGCCUCUGAUUUUGGUUAAGGAAAAGCCUACGGGUCACACAUAGUGGCUUCCUCAGCAUCCUCCUUGCUGUACAGUGACAGUCAAUAAAAUCCCAUUGCCCAAAAGCUGUGUUUACUUG
rnacentral:lncRNA from 1 species